CAUUAUCUUAACCCCUUCCUCACCAAAAGAUUUUAGUUUUGUCUGUUGGGAAAGAAAGAUGGCGCUAGGGAAAAUGAGUUGCCUUACAACUUUGCUGGGACACAUCAGUUUGGUGAAGUGUGGGACACUAGUAUUAUUUUUGAGAAGGUGCAUAAAACCAAAGUAAAUUAUUCUCUAUGUAGAACAUUAUUUACUAGUAACAUUUGUUUGGGUGUAUUAGCUUUGACAAUUUUUACCAGUAAAUGCUGAUUUUAUUUAGAACUGGGAGUCCAGUUUACAUAUAGGAUAGUUGAUAUAUCCAUCUUUCCCCCGUGUAAAGAAUUGUCUAAAAGAUUUAUGCAUACUUUUUACUUUUCUCUCUUGAUACCAUGGGGUGGGGGUGGGGAGGACUUUGACUUGACAACUGACAAAUGUCUUCAAAUUUAAAAAUCAAGAAGCAGCACUUUAAGUCUAAUUCCACGCCAUUUUAGUGCAUGUUUUAGUUUAAUAAUGAUUUUUGGUGCAUGCCUUUGGGCUUAUUCAAAAGUGUACAAUAGAAAAGUGUAUUUCCUUUCAUAGAAAGGAGAUGUUUUUCUACUUUGCAACAUGUGAUUACAAAAAUCUUCCUCUGUGGGAAGAUUAACCAUGUAUUGAACUACUGAAAAGUAUAUAUUUUUAGAUAUACAGAAGGAAUCUACACGGGGCAGCAUUCAGACCUAUAUAGAAGUCAUAAAAUUCUGUAUAGGACCAAAAGGAAGUAACAUAAAACACUUAAACAGACUAUGUUGGGUAGAAAUACCUUUCGAUCUUGCAUUGACUUCCAAAAUGAAAAUGCCACAGAAGUUCGCUGAAACUUUUGUUUGAAUUUUCUGUCAGUGUAUAUAGCCCAAAUGCAGCAGCUUUGGGUUAGCACAAUGUAAGAAUCAAAACACAAAACUAAAUAGUUCAGUCUGGUUUGCCAAUCCAGCCUGACUGAAAUAAGUAACCAAUCACUUGCAAACUGAAAAACUGUCCAACUCCUCUAAGGUUUUGACAAAAUAACCUUGGCUGAUGUGGGAACAUUCCCGCUUUGAUUUCUGACCUGACAGCGAAGAUUCAUGCAUGACAUGAUUUCAAACCUGACAGUGUCUGUUUAAGGAGCCAUGGUACAGUUUGCUAAUUCAAUCCCAGAUACCUGUUGAUUACCUGUAAGAUCUAGAGUUCAAAGUAGCCAGCAGCCGUAUCCCUGAGUGCUCUGUGCCUAUCAGAUAGCAUGAAGUAAGCAGAGUUGGGACAGGUCAACAGCCCUGAGGACUGACCUCAGAGCAGAGCCCCAGAUUCAAGAAUUGUAUCUGCUUUCUUGGGAGUCACUGAACUAUUGUCCCACACUGCAUUACUUGCUGUAGAUGUUCUCCAAGAGGAGGCCCAGAGCACACAUCCGAAUUGCUUGUGGUACUCAGAGAGGGGGUGCUAACUCUGAUGCCCUGGCCAAAUUCCAGUUUAGGGAUGUGGGUCUUCUUGUCAUUCUUAAUUGGAAAUGUGCAUCACUUUCCAUUUUUUCCUGUUGCUCUCAGUGCAAACUACACAAGUCUGUUCCUUUGCCCCAAUCCCAAGUCUCCAAGAUACUGGUAUUUUAUGGGCCAGGUUCAUGCCUUAUCUUGAUACACAAGAGUUGAAGAAUGAGAGCUUGGCAUCAGGAUGCCUUAUACUUGGAGGGUGGACUCUUGUGAUGCCUGGGAAUGAAACCUGCCCUCUUUUGGCAUAUGUUAGGGAGCUUGCACUGGUUGGAAGCUUCCAACCAUAAGGUGUGAACGGAAACCAAUUUCCCCUCUUUUCUUACAGCAUGAUGAGAAAGUCUUUUGGGUUUUCAGUAGUUGAGGAAGGCCGGAGUUCUGCAGCUUUAAUCUGGGUAACUAAGGCUGGUUUAAUCUGGGUAACUAGCUGGUUUAAUCUGGAUAACUAGUACUGGUUUGAGCAAGACUUUGGUAAAUUAACUCGGUUCUCAGAUGCCACAGACUCCGUGAGAAGUCACCAUUAUUUUUAGUGGCUGUGAUGGAGUCCCCCUGUAGCCAUUACUUUAAGAUUACAUGCAGAGUUGCUUUAUUUUGAGCUUUUUGUGUACACACAAUCCCAAACUGGAAAAACUUAAAAAGGAAUCCUGCUGUGAAAGGUAUAUAUUACUCUAGAUUUUUCUUACUGUAAAUAUUGUAAGAUUGUAAUACUGUCAAUAUUUUAUUAACCAACAAAUGUUAAUCUAUGUGAAAUCAGACUUAUUUUAAAUGUGCUUCUUAUUUACUGUGUGUGGUCCCUGUUGCUGACAGUAUUAAGUUAUAUUCUGAUGUAAGAUUAACUUUAUUAAAGAAUGUAAACAUUAAAUGUUUCCUUAUGGGAAAACAAAUAAAGUAUAAAGAAGACAAUUCUUUUCAUUGAAAUAUACUGUGUAUUUACACUUGCUAGACCCAGCACCACUUAUAAACUUAGUCCACUGUCCAGUUUCAGUUAACACAGCUGACACGGUUGUGCUCCACUUGAAGGUCUAAGCCUUGGUGUUGUUGGAAUAUAAACGGUUUGUAUUUGUCUGCUGUGAAUCAUCUUGAGAUUUCUAAUCAAGUUUGUAAAAUUUUUAUAGUAAAACAUUUUAAUGACAAUUUAAAAAUUAUCUUCUCUAAAGAAUGGUCAAAACAAUGUCCUUUCAGAAAUAGAGUUGCUCUUUACUAUCUUUCCAAAAUGACUUUGGUUAAACGGACCAGGUAUAUAUUAGUUAAAAUCUAGGGCUAAGUUCUUGAUAUUCUUUGAGUUUACAAGUUAAUCCUUAUUGGAGUUGUGCCAAUAUACAAUAGAAUAUCAUUAAUUUGCACUGUUUGGGGACCCCAUUUAAGAAUGCUGAAUUUUGCCAACUAAAAAGUAAGCAAAUGCAAUUUAAAAAGUAAAUUUGAGCAUUCUGUGUUAAAUAUGUGCAGUUAUUAUCAUACGAAGAAGCGCAGUGUGUUGGGCUGUAAUAUAACCAUAUUUGCUGUCAUGUUCUCCCAUCUCAGUGCUGGGAACUCACCAUGUGGAAACCAAGCAACCGUGUUGUGCGUCAGCCGGCUUGAGUUUGUUCAAUAUCACAGCUGAAGCUAGCAAGGUCUGCUGUGCUGCUUACUGAAGUAUUGUGAUUCUCUUAGGCAUUGGUUCUUACAAAAUAUAUACUGUAACAGUAUACUUUGUACAGAUUUAAAUUUUAUUUGAAAAAAUGAAAUAAAGUAGGCAAAAAAUAAAGAUGUUUAUUUUUCAUGUGACUACAUAAACAGAUCA
rnacentral:lncRNA from 1 species